GUGGUCAGAGCUAGAUGGGCUUCAGCCAGAGACAAAGAUAAUUGAUGAACAUCUGGGAGAAAUCAUCUUAAAGGGUUUUCUCACCAUCAAUAGCCAACCUGCAAUUAAUGGAGAGAAAUCUGAUUCUCCCACUGUUGGUAAGUGAGAUUUAUUCUAAACGUCUUCAAGGUCAAGUAUUUGUUAGUUCUUAUAUGACCUCUGAGCCGGUCCCUGACUUGGAAAGCAUGACUUCCUUUUUGAAAAUGAAAUCAUGUUUCUGCAUAUAAAAUUCAAUUUAUUUUNNNNNNNNNNNNNNNNNNNNNNNNNNNNNNNNNNNNNNAGAGAAUAGAUAACGAUUAACGACUGUAGGCCAAACACCAUUUUUUCUGUUAUUUUUUCAAUAUAAAUUUGUCAGAGGACUUGAAUUGCUUGCAGGAAAAUGCAUUAUUGCUUUCUAUGAAAUGAUAUCACUUAUGGUACUUCAACUUAAAUUGUUCAAGGCAAUUUUGCAUAUUGUUCAAAGCAAUGAUGCAUGCUCAAAUUGCAUAUGGAUGGCUCUUACUACAAUUUGAGUUCUUAAUAUAAACAUGUAAAUGUUUGCACUUUGUUCUAACUUUCCUUUAACAUAUAAUUAUAAAUAUGAAUAAGUCACGGCCAUAAGUUAUUUUAGGGCAUAAGCCACCUUCUCCUUGCACUUAUUAGUUAUCAUAGAUGAACUAAACCUGCUAUUCGUGAUUAGGAAUGGUUUCAUACUUAAUUCCUCUUAGAUGUGCAUUGUGAAAAUAGGACCUAGAGAGGGAUGAUUUUAGAAUUUAGGGCCUAAAGAGGAAUGAUAUUUGGAGGAAAUGAUUAUGUUGUUCAAAAUUCAGUGUGCGACAGAAAACAGAGCAGAAGAGAGAAUGGGAUCUUGUUCAAGAAUGAGGAUCGAUGGCAAUUUUAGUGAUCCUUGCUUCUAAGAUGUUGACUGGUUAUUUUUUUCACCUUGGAUUUGGUAUCAUAAAGAAUGAAAAUAUAAGCGAAAAAUAUGGUACAUAUGCAGAUCAGCACUGAUGGCAGAGGAGAUGUGCCCAUGUGCUUUUGAGGAUAACCACAAGAUAAUGGCAACCAAGGAGACUAAUUCACCAGACAUUGGACUGAAACUUGUCAUAUGUACAAGAAGGUGGGCAAUGAAUAGAUUGCAUGACAUUAUUAUUAACAUAACACAAAUUAGAAUAUAAAGGCUAAUAUGUGGUAAAAUUUUAGUUUUUAGAAGUUUUCACUUGGAAGAACCAGAGAGCAAAGUUAUCAUUACUAAGUAGCUCGGACUUUCACAUAUUCCUGUUUAAUGCUUGUAUUUUUGUCGUAUUCAUGCAUUAUCGCUUUCUUGUGAGAUUAGAAGAGGCCCCACUUGAGGAAGGGGAUUGGAUUUGUUAAGUGUUGGGAAUGAGGGAAACUGUAUAUAGCUAAACUUAUAGAGCUUAUGAGCAUGGAGGUAGCUAGGCAAAUUUAUAUAACUAACAGCAAUAAUUUGGAGACUCCUAUUAGUUACAACAGAAAGGGUUUCUGCAAAUCUUUAAACCUUGAGCUACUGUCAAGGUUUCAGAAUGAAGCACUAGAAGUAUCACUCUGAAUUUUGGGUUGUGCAUUAAUUAUUUUUUCAUUUUAUCCAACCUGCUUUAAUAAAGGAUUCAUGGAGGAAACUAUGAUCCUAAACAUAUCAAAAUGGAGGAAAAUGAUUCAUGUAGUUGACCCAACUAGUUUGGGAUUAAGACUUAGUUGAGUAUAUAUAAAUUAUUUUCUAGUAACAUAUAUGACUGUUCAUUCUUAAGCCUUUCCUUCUUUCCUUCUUUUUUUUUCAUCGUGGUGGUGGGGGGUUGUUGGGUAAGAAGGUGAAUUUUAGAUCUGGUGUUGGAUUUUUGUUUCAAUGCAAAGUCCUUGCUUUCUGAGUAACAUUUUUUCCCAUACAUGUUACUAUUCCGUGGCACAUUCUAAUAAUGCUUUUGUUUAUUGUGUUUGUCAGGGUGGGGUGGACCAGGGGGAUACGUCUAUCAGAAGGCUUAUCUUGAAUUCUUCUGUUCAAAAGAUAAGAUAAAUUUACUGAUUGAAAAGUGCAAGGGAUUUCCAUCUCUCACAUAUAUUGCUGUGAACAGAGAAGGGGAAUGUCUCUCCAAUGUUGCCCCAAAUGCAGUCAAUGCAGUGACAUGGGGCGUUUUCCCUGCCAAAGAGAUCGUCCAACCAACUGUUGUUGAUCCUGCAAGCUUUAUGGUUUGGAAGGAUGAGGCAUUUGAGAUCUGGACGAAGGGAUGGGCAUGCUUGUUUCCUCACGGUGACCCAUCUAGGGAAUUAUUAGAGCAGGUACGUUGGACACACAAUCAUGUUUGUAUACGAGAUAUUAGAUUGAAGGUUGUGUAGAUUUUUUCCUAAACACCUUCCAUUUUUUUACUUUCAAGUGGCAGUUUUAGACGUUCAGCAGGCCUCUCUCUCUCUCUCUCUCUCUCUCUCUCUUUUCGGCCUUCUAAAUUUCGGCUUUAUAAAGCCAUCAUCGGUAGGUAUUCGCCUGCGCGCCCCCUCGCUUCUCGGACGACGCCCAAACGCCGUUAACGGCAGCAGAGAGAGAGAGAGAGAGCUCAGAAGAGAAGAAGAGAUGAAGGUGAUAGAGAAGAUCCGGGCGGCGGGGGAGGGGAGGGGCGGACGGUGUUCUCCUUCGAGUACUUCCCCCGAAGACGGAGGAAGGGGUGGAGAACCUCUUCGAUCGCAUGGACCGCAUGGUCGCCCACAACCCCUCGUUCUGCGACAUAACCUGGGGUGCCGGCGGCUCCACCGCCGAUCUCACCCUCGAUAUCGCCAACCGCAUGCAGAACAUGAUCUGUGUGGAAACAAUGAUGCACUUAACUUGCACUAACAUGCCGGUGGAGAAGAUCGACCAUGCCCUAGACACCAUCAAGACCAAUGGGAUUCAGAAUGUUUUGGCUCUAAGAGGGGAUCCUCCUCAUGGUCAGGAUAAGUUUGUUCAGGUUGCUGGUGGAUUUGCCUGCGCCCUUGAUCUGGUGCAGCACAUUCGAUCUAAGUAUGGUGAAUAUUUUGGCAUAACUGUUGCUGGCUAUCCAGAGGCACACCCCGACAUGAUACAAUGUGAAGGAGGUGCUACAUUAGAAGCCUACAGCAAUGAUCUUGCUUAUUUGAAGAGAAAGGUGGAUGCUGGUGCAGAUAUUAUUAUCACCCAGUUGUUUUAUGAUACUGACAUAUUUCUGAAGUUUGUGAAUGAUUGCCGUCAAAUUGGGAUAACCUGUCCCAUCGUUCCUGGUAUAAUGCCAAUAAACAACUAUAAGGGCUUCUUGCGUAUGACUGGUUUUUGUAAACUAGGAUACCACCUGAGAUUACAGCUGCCCUAGAGCCUAAAAAUGAAGAGGCUGUCAAGGCAUAUCCACCUUGGAACCGAGAUGUGCAAAAGGCUCACGGGAUAAGAUUUCAAGGUCCUUACCAUGGAGGCGACCAACAAAUGUUUUUCGUGCUAAAGAAGAUGUUCGACCUAUCUUUUGGGCUAAUCGUCCAAAAAGCUACAUUGCAAGGACUCUUGGUUGGGACCAGUACCCACAUGGGAGGUGGGGAGAUUCUCAUAACCCAUCAUAUGGAGCCCUUACAGACUACCAGUUCAUGCGCCCACGUGCACGGGACAAGAAGCUUCAAGAGGAAUGGGCAAUCCCAUUGAAAUCUCUGAAUGACAUCAAAGAGAGGUUCAUGAACUUCUGCCUGGGAAAACUUAGAAGUAGCCCGUGGUCGGAGCUAGAUGGGCUUCAGCCAGAGACAAAGAUAAUUGAUGAACAUCUGGGAGAAAUCAUCUUAAAGGGUUUUCUCACCAUCAAUAGCCAACCUGCAAUUAAUGGAGAGAAAUCUGAUUCUCCCACUGUUGGGUGGACCNNNNNNNNNNNNNNNNNNNNUCUCUCUCUCUCUCUCUCUCUCUCUCCACACACACACACUUUCAUUUAUUAGUUAUUCUUUUGGAAGUUCAUUAGGUGCUGAACAAGUUGAUCAUUUCAUGUUUUCA
rnacentral:lncRNA from 1 species